rnacentral:sRNA from 1 species
AGACGGGAGUGCUUGUGGUUUGACCAUCAAAGGAGCCAUGAUGGGUGAGAGGUGUCUAGCUCUGAAUGUCCUGUUUGCUGGGGUUGCUUCUUACCAGAGGCUUUUCAGCAGGAAUCUUAGCUCUCACUGCUUUGCGAACUAUUGUGAUCCUUCUCUCUAGAGCUCUUUCAACAUCCUGUGCUGACUGCCAGCUCCUUCCAGCCCAUCGAAGGGGGUCCAGUGAGCCUGAAAUGUGAGACCCGGCGCUCUCCACAGAGGCUGGAUGUUCAACUCCAGUUCUGCUUCUUCAGAGAAAACCAGGUCCUGGGGUCAGGCUGGAGCAGCUCUCCGGAGCUCCAGAUUUCUGCCAUGUGGAGUGAAGACACAGGGUCUUACUGGUGCGAGGCAGAAACGGUGACUUACAGGAUCAGAAAACAGAGCCUCCAAUCCCAGAUUCACGUGCAGAGCAAGUAUCAGUGAGGCUAAGCCUGGAGAAAAAAGAUAGGAGUGCUAUAGCUUCAGCUUGGACUACUAGUUUGUUUCUUUGUUCAACUCCUGUCCUUGAGGAAAGUGAAAAUUAAGCUAGAAAAACCCUCCAGGUUGCGGCCGGGCGCGGUGGCUCAUGCCUGUAAUCCCAGCAGUUUGGGAGGCUGAGAUGGGCAGAUCAUGAGGUCAGGAGAUUGAGACCAUCCUGGCUAACACGGUGAAACCCCGUCUCUACUAAAAAUACAAAAAAUUAGCCGGGCUUGGUGGCGGGCGCCUGUAGUCCCAGCUACUAGGGAGGCUGAGGCAAGAGAAAGGCGUGAACCUGGGAGGUGGAGCUUGCAGUGAGCCGAGAUCGUGCCACUUCACUCCAGCCUGAGGAACAGGGCGAGGCUCCGUCUCAAAACAAAACAAAACAAAACGAAACGAAAUACCCUCCAGAUUGCUCCUGGCUUCCCAUUUCAAAAGAAUCAGAAAUGCACUAAGCCCCUUAUAAUCUUUCUUUUGUUUGUUAGUUAAGUAAUAUUCAUUGAUCAAGCCUUCAUUGAUCACUGUCUGUAUGCCUUGGCAUUUAGUAGUGGGUGGGACACUUCAAAAGGCAAACCACCUGCUGUCUAAUGGCUCUCCAAAUGUCUCCACAUGAUGAGAUUGCAACACAAAUUGACUUAUUAGAAGGCAAUGUAGCAUCAGGAAAAGCAGAUGUGAAUGAACAGAGUGGUCAGAGGAGAAGUUGUAUUUGGUUGAACCUUGAAAUUAAGAAUGAUAGAGGAAUUAUUAUUGGGACCGUUGUUAGGAAUAAUGACUUUUCCACUGCAAGACUGAAGAUAUCAGUGCCCCCCUAUAUUCUGUGCAAAUGUGUCUGUGACUCAUCCAAAAAAUUGAACAGUUUCCUGUCUCAUGGAGUGGAUGAUCCAUCACAAAUUCUUUAAAUAUUACUACCCAUGAAAUUGGCCAGGGUUAGGACAUUCAAGUGUCUUUAUCCACAUUCCUGAAGGAUAAUUGUUAUAGAUUCCCUACCUCCAUAGGAAUGCUUAUAAUGGAUUAUUUAUACAAUCUCCACAUUCCCACAUUUUGCAUUAGAGAAUGGAAUCAGUCAAACCCUGUUCCCAGAGUUUCCCUUAGAGUUCUCACCUGUUAUCUUAUAUCCAUCUAGGAAUCCCCAUCUCUAACGUAAGCUUGGAGAUCCGGGCCCCCGGGGGACAGGUGACUGAAGGACAAAAACUGAUCCUGCUCUGUUCAGUGGCUGGGGGUACAGGAAAUGUCACAUUCUCCUGGUACAGAGAAGCCACAGGAACCAGUAUGGGGAAGAAAACCCAGCGUUCCCUGUCAGCAGAGCUGGAGAUCCCAGCUGUGAAAGAGAGUGAUGCCGGCAAAUAUUACUGUAGAGCUGACAACGGCCAUGUGCCUAUCCAGAGCAAGGUGGUGAAUAUCCCUGUGAGAAGUGAGUGACACUCUCAUUCAUAUCUUCCAGAAAUUCCCAAACCAAGGUCAUGAUACACAGGAGUCCUGAGGAAAUUUCAGGAGGCCCCAGGGAUUAGUGCUGUGGAGAACCAAAAGCAAUUUGAAAAUGGGUUACCCUUGUAGGUUAGACUGCUGACCUGUUUCUUUUUGUGGAAGGAAAUAUAAAGAGGGCUGUAAUUGAUUAUGAAGCAUAAGCAUUCUUGCAAUCCUAUGAUAGGAUAAUAAAACAUCUAUUACAUGAAACCUUUGGGCUCUGGGCCAGGGAGUGUCAUGGAUCUAAAAGGUUCAUAGUGGUAACAGCCUGCUUCAUUUUAUGUCAUCUCCUUCAAAGUGAUUAGAGUGUUUCCAGCUUGCCGAAAUUGCACCCAAAGGGAGACAUUUGGAGCCAUGUUAUUGGUGAUUUACUGGUGUGGAAAAUUACCUGGUGUUGUAGCCAAGUAGUCAUUUCCGUUCUAACCCAGUCCUAGAGUCCUGAACUGGGCUGAAUAAACAUACCUAAAUAUAUGCUUAGAAAUGCUCCUAUGUAUCAGUUUUCCCAGGAACAACUAUAAUAUUAUAGAAAUCUUAAAAUUAUUUCCCAAUAAAAAAUUAUAGGAUACAAAAGAAAAAAAGAAAUAUGAAGAGGGCUGGAUGGGCACAGGAAAACAAUCAGAUGAGAACAACAGAUGACCGUGUCUGUAGGCAGCACCCAGAACUGAUAUUCCCCUCAAACGUCUAAACAUAUUGUUGAGAAAAUUAUCUCUAACUGUUCUAGUGGGAAUGUGGGAAUGGAAAGUAUGCAACAGCCAUGGGGCCAGGCCCUUUGCUGAGCCUGCAGGAUGGGAGUUUGUGAAUCUAUUGCAGCAUCACAAAUCUUUUCUGAUAACCCCUCUGUGUCUGUCAGUUCCAGUGUCUCGACCUGUCCUCACCCUCAGGUUUCCUGGGGCCCAGGCUGCAGUGGGGGACCUGCUGGAGCUUCACUGUGAGGCCCUGAGAGGCUCUCCCCCAAUCCUGUACCAAUUUUAUCAUGAGGAUGUCACCCUGGGGAACAGCUCGGCCCCCUCUGGAGGAGGGGCCUCCUUCAACCUCUCUUUGACUGCAGAACAUUCUGGAAACUACUCCUGUGAGGCCAACAACGGCCUGGGGGCCCAGUGCAGUGAGGCAGUGCCAGUCUCCAUCUCAGGACCUGAUGACUAUAGAAGAGACCUCAUGACCUCCGGAGUUCUCUGGGGACUGUUUGGUGUCCUUGGUUUCACUAAUGUUGCUUUGCUGUUGUAUGCCUUGUUCCACAAGAUAUCAGGAGAAAGUUCUGCCACUAAUGAACCCAGAGGGACUUCCAGGUCAAAUCCUCAAGAGUUCACCUAUUCAAGCCCAACCCCAGACAUGGAGGAGCUGCAGCCAGUGUAUGUCAAUGUGGGCUCUGUAGAUGUGGAUGUGGUUUAUUCUCAGGUCUGGAGCAUCCAGCAGCCAGAAGGCUCAGCAAACAUCAGGACACUUCUGGAGAAAAAGGACUCCCAAGUCAUCUACUCUUCUGUGAAGAAAUCAUAACACUUGGAGGAAUCAGAAGGGAAGAUCAACAACAAGGAUGGGGCAUCAUUAAGACUUGCCAUAAAACGUUAUGAAAAUGCUUAAGGCUUAUCACCUGCCACAGCCAGAAAGUGCUUCAGGAGGCACCUCCUGUCAUCAUUUUUGUUCUGAUCAUGUUUCUUCUCCAAUAUCUUCUUUUACCUGUUAAUAUUCAUUGAACAUCCCGACACUGUGCAAAGAAAUUAUUUCUGCUACCUUCUCUUCAGCAAUCUGUGUGUAAAGAUUUGAGGGAAGAAUGAAUAAGAGAUACAAGGUCUCACCUUCAUCUACUGUAAGGUGAUGAGAACAGGACUUGAUAAUGGUGUAUUAACUUAUUUAUGUGCUGCUGGAUACAGUUUGCUAAUAUUUCAUUGAGAAUUUUUGCAAAUAUGUUAAUUGGGAAUAUUGGCCUGAAAUUUUCUUUUCCACUGUGUCUCUGCCAGAAUAUUUGUAUCAGGCUGAUGCUGGCUUCAUAGAAUGAGUUAGGCAGGAGCCCUUCCUCGAUUUUUUGGCAUAGUUUCAGCAGGAUUGGUACCAGUUAUUCUUUGUACAUCUGGUAGAAUUCAGCUGUGAAUCCAUCAGAUCUAGGGCUUUCGUGUUGGUUGGUAAGUUUUUUAUUACUAAUUCAACUUCAGUGCUUGAUAUUGGUCUAGCAAGGGUUUCUGUUUCUUCCUGGUUCAAUCUUGGGAGAUUGUGUGUUUCCAGGAAUUUAGCUGUUUCCUCCAGAUUUUCUUCUUUACGUGCACAGAGUUGAGUGUAAACAUAACUUAUAUGCACUGGGAAACCAAAAAAUCUGUGUGACUUGCUUUAUUGCAGCAUUUGCUUGAUUUUGGUGGUCUGGAACUGAACCUGCAAUAUCACCAAAGUAUGCAUAUAGUGGCAAAAAUAUGACUUUUGACACAGUAAAUAUGAGUAUUUGCAAUAAACUAUGAUAUUACUUUUGUAAGUGUAUAGAAUAAAAUAUAAAUAAUCUAUG